rnacentral:rRNA from 1 species
CUACGGGCGGCUGCAGUCGAGAAUCAUUUGCAAUGGGCGAAAGCCUGACAAUGCGACGCUGCGUGGAGGAUGACGGCCCUAGGGUUGUAAACUCCUGUCGGGAGGGAAAAAUUGGCACCUGGUGAAUAGCCGGGAGUCUUGAUGGUACCUUCAGAGGAAGCCACGGCUAACUCUGUGCCAGCAGCCGCGGUAAUACAGAGGUGGCGAGCGUUGUUCGGAUUUACUGGGCGUAAAGGGUGCGGAGGCGGUUAAGUAGUUGGAUGUGAAAGCCCAUGGCCCAACCAUGGAACUGCAUUUGAUACUGCUUGACUAGAGUGCAGGAGGGGAGAGCGGAAUUCUUGGUGUAGCGGUGAAAUGCGUUGAUAUCAAGAAGAACACCGGUGGCGAAGGCGGCUCUCUGGAAUGUUACUGACGCUGAGGCACGAAAGCUGGGGGAGCAAACAGGAUUAGAUACCCGCGUAGUC